rnacentral:rRNA from 1 species
UACGUAGGCAGCAAGCGUUGUUCGGAAUUACUGGGCGUAAAGAGUGUGUAGGCGGUGCUCUAAGUUCGGUGUGAAAUCUCCUGGCUCAACUGGGAGGGUGCGCCGGAAACUGGGGUGCUGGAGCGCGGGAGAGGAAAGCGGAAUUCCUGGUGUAGCGGUGAAAUGCGUAGAUAUCAGGAGGAACACCGGCGGUGUAGACGGCUUUCUGGACCGUAGCUGACGCUGGAGACACGAAAGCGUGGGUAGCAAACAGG